UGCUGUAGUGGGUAUUAUUGUAGGAAUCACGGAGGCCACAGCAGCCGCACUAUUAUACAGACGGCGCUGGCGGCGCCGGUAUUUUCGUAUUCAACGCGACAGGUAGAAUACGAAGCUACGGCGUGUUGUUAUUGCUCCGUCUUCAACGGUUGUCGUGCGAGCUGCGUCGAUGUGUUUGUUUGACCGUGUGUUAUUAGGUUUGCUGUAAUGAAAUGAGACGUAGUUCGCGAGCACGAAAGUGCCAGAAGAUGGCUUGAGUCUCGCUGUAAGCACGCCGUAUGCGUGGCGCGCCAGCUAAAUGUGGACCAACGAUUUUCAUGCCAUGGAGUGCGUUCCCUUUGUCUCCGCUUGUGUUCGUGGAAAGUUUGGUGGACGGCGCAGAGAAGUAAUGCGUAUUAUUAGCGCGCCUCAGCUCGUCCACUACCCAGUGGCUUGUUUGCUGCAAGUAACAUCGCAGACGCAUCACUGGAAACUUGGAGAGUGCCUUUCGACCUCGUCGUACUGUUGAAACGUGGCGAGGCCGUGACCCACAACAUUAACUACAAGAUCGAGGAGCCCCAAGAAAUGCCGACCCUGUGGAUAUAUGGCUGCAGCAGCAUGGCGUGUGAUCUGGAUCGUCAUGACAGGCUCCACCGUCGCCGUUACUAGACGGACCAAAUGAGGCCAAAAACUAGCCUUUCCUCGCUCCAUUCCUGGGAAGUGAAAUAGCAGGUGGUCAUGUAAGAAUGAACUUGCAACCAUGUGGGCAGUAGCCAAAGCUCCCUACAGUUCAUGCUGGUGGUGGAAUGAUAAGACAAACCGCAAUAUUUAUUUGUUUACUUAUUCACUUAAACGAUAUGCAUGCAAAUGACGCUUUUGGCAGAACGCGCGUGUGGAUUUCUACCAAACGACGUGAAAAGCAUGCCAAUGCUGCUCUUUUUAGCACCCGCACAUGGAGUUGUGCCAAAACGCGUUUUAAGCAUGAAUAUGCAACUUAAUAUUUAUUUAUUCAUAUCUCAUGAAUACUGUGCAGUUUUUUUAGCAAGGAGUCAGGUAAAAUAAAGAAAUAUUGUUGCAUCAAAGUAAACGUUAUUUGAAAAAGCAUAAUUCACGUAGCACGAAUUCAUGGAAACUGUAAAUUUUGAAGAAACAGAGCAGUAAGGUUAACAAAUCUUAUAUAACAAAAAAUGAGAUCACAUUUCUGUUGGACCUAAUACCAUAAUUUAAUCUGUCAAAUUAGAGAUACCAUAUGCUGCUCUAAUAUACAAUCACUAAUUUAUGAGUAGAUGCGCGAAACUCUCAAACGUUGCAACAAUUUCAUGCUAGCUGUAAAUUCAUAUAUACAGUUUGUUGACUUUAGACAUAGCAGAUGGAGUCUGCAGAACUAUGAUAUCUCUUUCUGGCACAGAGACGGGCAUUAGUAAGCUUCGUGGUGUUAUUUUUCUUAAACCUGCCAAAUAGUCCUUCCUGCAACAGGUAGAAUUCUCAAAUGCCGCAAACUUAAUUCAAAUUAGUGCUGUGGUUGUCUCAAAAGUAUUUCUGUAUUUUGGAUGUAUUUGAGUAGGAAAAUUUACAGAAUUAACGAACUUGUGCUAGCUCUUUUUUUCAUUUACAGUUGCAAACUAAGUCCUUUUCCUUCAAGUUUUGCUAUUUUCAGCAAAUUUUAAUAAAAAUUGAUGGUGUUAAUGUAAAAACUAUAAUUUAAACAUUUUUAAAUGUAUCAAACCUCAUCAAAUUUGGUUGCAUAGUUGCCGAGAAAAACGAUUUUACUGUUCAUGUGCAUUACAUAGGAGCUCCUGAGCUAGAUCUCUUUUUUAGUCAUUGCGUGUGUCGGUCUGGUUUGUAUUUCUCACCCUAAUUAGAAUAUUGGCUCUGAUCUCAAAAUUGUUUCCCUUACAACGAAAUACAAGCUUUUAAACUUUUUACGAUAUAUGCUGUACUGCUCUAUGAUAACCCCUGUUUGCCACAUUUUUGCAGGGCCUACCAGUGCUAAUUUUACACAUAAACAUAGACUAAAAUGCUGUGUGGUUUCGGUAUAUGGUGUACUUAUCUGUGAAAGCCAUUAUUUGCCACAUUUUUGCAGCGACUGCCAGUGUUAUUUUUGCUCAGACUAAAAUGCUGUGUCGUUUCGUCAGGCUGACACAACAUUGCAGUGCACAUUCAUAUCAGUCUAUUUUCAGGCUUUAGUAUCCAAACAUUUAAUGUGCACUGCUGGAACAGGCACUCCUUUUUCAGUUUUAAUGGUAUGGUUUCUUGUCCUAGUCAAGCCUGUUAUUGCGAGGUGUCAGCUGUAAUCAAGUCUGCCACUGAUUCUUUUACCUCAUGUUUCGUGUGUUUGCACCACCAGCUUGACCUGAGAAGCAUGUUGGCAGCUACAGUUUGUGUGUUGCAAGUUCUAGUCUGAAGUGUGUAUGUCACAUAUAUGAAGCAUGUAUCUAGUCUGAAGUGCAAUAAACAUUUCAAACUGAAUA